CAGCCGCCGCGGUAAUACGCAGGGGGCUAGCGUUGCUCGGAAUUACUGGGCGUAAAGGGAGCGUAGGCGGGUCGUUUAGUCAGAGGUGAAAUCCCGGGGCUCAACCUCGGAACUGCCUUUGAUACUGGCGACCUUGAGUAUGGGAGAGGUAAGCGGAACUCCGAGUGUAGAGGUGAAAUUCGUAGAUAUUCGGAAGAACACCAGUGGCGAAGGCGGCUUACUGGCCCAUUACUGACGCUGAGGCUCGAAAGCGUGGGGAGCAAACAGGAUUAGAUACCCCCGUAGUCCCUGUCUCUUAUAC
rnacentral:rRNA from 1 species